GCGAUCUUCUGGGGCGUGGACAGCCCGUCCUCGCUCCCCGCGAGGCUCAGAACGGGCAGGUCGCUUCCGGAGAGGUCGUUC
rnacentral:tRNA from 1 species